CCGGAUUUAUUGGGUUUAAAGGGUGCGCAGGCGGGCUAAUCAGUCAGGGGUGAAAUUCCACGGCUCAACUGUGGGUGUGUCUUUGAUACUGUUAGUCUUGAAUUUAGUUGAAGUGGGCGGAAUGUAGCAUGUAGCGGUGAAAUGCAUAGAUAUGCUACAGAACACCGAUAGCGAAGGCAGCUCACUAAGUUAAUAUUGACGCUCAUGCACGAAAGCGUGGGGAUCAAACAGGAUUAGAUACCCUGGUAGUCCACGCUGUAAACGAUGAUCACUCGUUGCUGGCGAUAUACCGUUCAGUGGCUAAGCGAAAGUGAUAAGUGAUCCACCUGGGGAGUACGAUCGCAAGGUUGAAACUCAAAGGAAUUGACGGGGGCCCGCACAAGCGGUGGAGCAUGUGGUUUAAUUCGAUGAUACGCGAGGAACCUUACC
rnacentral:rRNA from 1 species